CAGCCGCCGCGGGAACACGAAGGAUGCAAGCGUUAAUCGGAAUUACUGGGCGUAAAGCGUGCGUAGGCGGUUUGUUAAGUCUGCUGUGAAAUCCCCGGGCUCAACCUGGGAAUGGCAGUGGAUACUGGCAAGCUAGAGUGUGUCAGAGGAUGGUGGAAUUCCCGGUGUAGCGGUGAAAUGCGUAGAGAUCGGGAGGAACAUCAGUGGCGAAGGCGGCCAUCUGGGACAACACUGACGCUGAGGCACGAAAGCGUGGGGAGCAAACAGGAUUAGAUACCCGCGUAGUCCCUGUCUCUUAUAC
rnacentral:rRNA from 1 species